rnacentral:rRNA from 1 species
GACGAACGCUGGCGGCAUGCCUAACACAUGCAAGUCGAGCGAAUUGAUUCCUUCGGGAUGAAGCUAGCGGCGGACGAGUGAGUAACACGUGGGCAACCUGCCUCAUAGAGGGGAAUAGCCUUCCGAAAGGAAGAUUAAUACCGCAUAAGAUUGCAUCUUCGCAUGAAGAAGCAAUUAAAGGAGCAAUCCGCUAUGAGAUGGGCCCGCGGCGCAUUAGCUAGUUGGUGAGGUAACGGCUCACCAAGGCGACGAUGCGUAGCCGAUCUGAGAGGGUGAUCGGCCACAUUGGGACUGAGACACGGCCCAGACUCCUACGGGAGGCAGCAGUGGGGGAUAUUGCACAAUGGGGGAAACCCUGAUGCAGCAAUGCCGCGUGAGUGAUGACGGCCUUCGGGUUGUAAAGCUCUGUCUUCGGGGACGAUAAUGACGGUACCCGAGGAGGAAGCCACGGCUAACUACGUGCCAGCAGCCGCCGCGG